GUGAAAUGGCCCAUGUCUCCUCCCAGGCCUUUAAAAGCCUUCUGGGACCACAUCUCCCAAGAAGUCUCCUCCUCUUUCUGUCUGCUCAGUCAUCAGUGGCAGCCGGCCCAAGACGGAGGUGUGUUUUACAUUUGAGAUGCAUCCGCUUCUGGGACUCACUCAGUUAAGUUGAUUGGGAAGCCCUGUGUUUCUGAUCCAAAAAACACAGAACAAAACAAAAGAACCGGGAAAGAAGCAGAUUUUUGCCCCCUUCUCUUCGUGUGGAUUUUAAACAACAAAUCUUUUCAACUUAGCUCGCAAGAAUAAGAGAAAACGAGUGCUUGGCUCGUGCUCUCUCCACUGCCUUCCCUUGCAGGGUGCGGGCCUCCCAGCUGAGACAUGAUUGGAUUAUUGCGGAUGGAGAGGCUGGACUCUUCCUCUGGGUCUGUUACUUUGGGAUUCCUGCCCAGGAAAAAUCGGAGCUGGAUGAACGAAGAGACUGCUGAAACCACAAAGAAAUUAAACCAGCACGCAUCGCCGGCCGGAGCCCCGGUUUGGCUGGCUUACAUUUCCAGGCUAAAUGGCUGGAACUCUAUCUUCUACCGAGAGGCUUUGAAGACAUUUUGGCUAAGAAAAUGUGCAGCAAGGAUGGAGGAUGUGGUUGGUUGGUUGGUUUGUUGGUUGAUUGGUUGAGAGCUCAGCUGGCAUUUCCAAGGGCUCUGGG
rnacentral:lncRNA from 1 species